GCCAGCAUGGUGUAGUGGUUUGGGUGUCAGACUAGGACUCUUGAGACCAGGUUCAAAUGCUGGCCCAGCCA